rnacentral:lncRNA from 1 species
CCAGGCCAAGCCCUGGCAUGGCUACACAGUAGCUGUGUGCUGUGGAGCUGUCUCCCCUUGCUGGAUCUCCAGGACAGUUUUCCCAUGUCUGCCAGUGCCUCUGGUGUGUCAGCCACCACCUCCAGCCUCAGUGGGUUCAGGAACACUCACCUCCCCAAGUGGCUGAGCGAACAGAACAACCUAAGAAAGAGAAGCGCCCAGAGCUCAGCUCCUUGCCUGUCGGUGGAAUGGGAUCCCCCAGAGUCCAGUGACCCCGUUUCUUCAAUCCUCUGCUUACCAGUUGGACAGAGCUGAAGCUGGGCAGAGCCUCCUAUUCACCCAGCCCCCUACAGGAGAGGCAAAGGAGGAAACACCGGCUCUCUCGAGUUCCCGGCUUACUAAUGGAAGGCCUCAGUCAAGCCCCGGUGCCAGGUGCU